ensembl:lncRNA
UGGAGAGGGCUCUUUCCCAGUGUGACGCUGUAGAUCUGAAAAUCAAGAGGAAUGCGUUUGAUGUUGUGAUGGCUAUAAGGAGACUUGAGGAGGAGAAGAAGAUUGUUCUUUCUGAGAUGGCAAAGCAUUGGAAAUCUCUCUCCACUCGUGCAGACACACUCAAGGAGAUGUCAUGCCAGCUUUCCAGUGAGCUGUGGGAUCUAAAUGAAGAAGGGAUCAAGGGUUUCCUCAGCUUAACUUUGAGAAAGAAGCAAGAAGUCACCAGAAUGAUGAAGCAUGCAAGAGACUGUUAUGCUAAAGUUUUGACUGGAACAAGUAUGGACUUCCAGAAUGAUUGGGAUGGAUACGACAGUGACUCUGAAUUGUCAGAUGAGUUUUAUGAGCUCUCAAGUGAGAAAUGAGCAUUAAGUCAUUUUUGUUGCAGAGUUUCCUUUUUAUGUUUUAUUUUGUUUAUUUUUUCUCCCACUCUAACAAUGCAGCCCUAUUUCUGAUACCGUAGGGGGUCAGAAAUGUUGCUGUGGGGGGCCACCACGGUCAAAUCAACAUGGAGGAAACACUGUUUGUGUGUCAGAUAUGCUUGAAUAAUAGUAUUCAUCAUAUCUACAUGUGACAUUACAACAAUAAUGAAUGUAAUUAAUUUAAGUAACUGUUUUUCCAAUAGUAAUCUUCUGUUUAUGGUAGAACAAAACUGUGCGGAAAAGUUUGCAGGAAGGUGUAAAUAUG